CCCCCCCUCUUCCCUUUUCCAUCAAAUCUGAACCCUGGUCUUGGUGGUCAUAAAAGGAGGCACAGUGGUACUGAAGCUGUGCUUAUAGUAUCUGCUGUAUAGCAUAUGGGCUACUUUCAAACAAGG
ensembl:snoRNA